rnacentral:lncRNA from 1 species
CCUUGUCAUUCACUCUCACUGUGGGAAGGACUAGAUUCUCACUUCAGAUAUGAAUGCAGACAGCAGGGGAGGUGACCGGUCUACCCAGAGAGUCUGGCAGAAGGUGGAGGGGAGAAAGAAGCAGGGUUGCUGAUCUCAGAACAAGUCUGAAGAGAGUGUGGACAUGGCUUUCUAGAUGUUUCCUGUGAUGUGUCCGAACUCCCUAGUUCCUGCUACCACUGAGGCAGACAGGUCUGAGGCCAGCGUUGACGGAGGGCAGACUUCAGCUCAGAGGAACUGGCAACCUGCCCCAAGUUGCAUGUGGGGAUGCUGGACUUCCAGGGGGACGUGCAGAGGACAAAGAAGCUAUCAGAUCCACCCCACCCCAGCACUCACACCUUCAGCACAGGGCAACAGCCACACUGGGCAUCUCUGCCUUUGAGUGGCGCCUAGAGGUCUUCCAAGGAGCAACCGUGAGUGAGCGCGGAGUCUGCCUUCUGCCUGCAGCACGGUCCUCCACCCUAGAGCCCUCUUGCGUGGGACGCUGUCGGGAGCAGCUCCGGCCACGUGCCCUGCAAAGAACCGGACGGCAGCGUGGCCUGGUGUCUCCUGACUCUGCUGUUUGGCACUUGAGGGACUGGGGCCAGGUGAGGGUGACCUGGUGGGAAGGAAGGCUGCAGUACAGGCCUCAGUGCAGGCUGUCACCACCCCCCUGUGCUGCCCCGUGUCCCAGCUCCGUCCCUUCCUUUAGCUCUGGGCUCCAAAAUUCCAAAACACAUCCAGUUCGAAGAGGAGACCAGCACCCGCUGCCUGCCUGAUGCUCUCCCCGCUGCAGCCGUAGUGGAAAGUGCCGCCAUCAGCACUUCUCCCAAUUACAGUGACCCUGUUGUGUUAAUUAAUUAAACCUCCUUGUCGCCUCGAGAGGAGGCCACGGUGUGAUUCCUGCUGAGUGCUGAGGGCGGAGGGGCAGGGGGUGCAAGCUCCAGCCCACUCACUCAAAAGAAAAGUGCGGGGCCCCGAGAAAGGGAUGUAGGAACCUCCCUUCUCCUCAGCCCAGGCUGCCACCACACCCCUACAUAAAGCCCCUGAG